ACGUCGUUGCUAGGAUACAGUAACUGAUUACCGCCAUCUGGUAUUCACGUGUUAAUUGGUUUAAAAGUUUACAUAAAUAAAAACGGAGCUUAUAUAGAUAUGUAUUAAUGCUUAUCUAUAAACACAGUAUGUGCAUAUAUGCAGUUAUAUGUUUGUUAAUCGCUUUAUUUAGUUUUUAGACGUCUAGCACCGUCGAAGCACGCGCACAGGAUUGUGGGAUACCAGAAGCAACGCAGGACGCACCAACAGUGUAUUCGCUUUUAAAAACCGCAAAGAUUGGAUUUGGACGAGUUUUGAUGCCAUUGUCUGAUUUGUUGGCUCUUCAUCUCCAGAUGACGGCGCACGCAGGAAUGCCGUCGCUUUUUGGCUGCAUUGAAGAUUCCACAGGUGUGGGAUACAGGUCAUCCUCUUCCUCGGAGCACCGGACGGAGGAAAGAGACGACGAACACUUGCAGUUGUGGGCUCCCGUCCUGUGAGAACCACUUUUGCCUUCUUUUUUGUGCUUGACGCGUCGGUUCUGGAACCAGAUCUUGACCUGCUUCUCGGAGAGGUUGAGGUAAGUCGCGAUUUCUAUGCGCCGAAGUCUUGACAGGUACAUGUUGGACGUGAACUCCCUCUCCAACUCAAGGAGUUGCGUACUGGUGAAUGCUGUGCGCAUGCGCUUGCUGCUAUGAAGUUGGUUGCUGUUAUUAUCUGUUGAAGAGAAAUAUAAGUUUUAGCUAUAUAUAUAUAUGGAUGAUGGGUUGCAUCAUGCGUUUAAUGAUUUUAAACGUAUAUCAUUGCAAGACGCUGGACUCACCUAUGGAUAUGCAGUGGAACUGUCGCGGAUCUGGCACUGGAUACGUGGCUUGGUAUAACCCCGAGCCGCUGUUCAGAUUUACACCGCCAGAAGUGGAGUGCUGCCUGGAUAGCGCGGAGUGACAAUACUGUGCGCCGAAGGAGGGAAAAGAUGCCUUGAUGAGCGGCAGCGCUGGAGGCGACGGGUGCAGGUGAGACGCGGUGACGCACAGCGGGCAAAAACACAACAGACCCGCCUUGCGAGAGUGACAGGAGCCGCCGGAGAGGCCGUGGAGUGGAUGCGACGGAUGGACGGCGUAUGGAAAUAACGGAGGACUGUUCUCUCUUCCUUUCUCACCAUUCUCCCUCAAAAUCAAGGAAUCCACUAGGAAAGAUCUUGGCAUGUUUACAGCACUGCGUUUCUUCACUCAAAAGGUCUGAGAGCUCGAAAAAGUUUCUAUUGGUCAGUCGUGUUCCGUAGCCAAGGCUGGACGGCAGAAUGAUGCUGAGGAGAAAACGUUCCUGCUUAAAUAGUUGGAGAGACAGUUUGUCCAUGUGACGGUUACGCUACUAGCGGCUGAGAGCCCUCAAUAGGGUUUUGUGCCUUUUCUCUUGGCAUUCACUCUGCACGCUUCCCUAUUAUUUCACUUGUUAACUAAAUGAACUGCACAAUGUAGUCUAUUCUUGUCAGCCCCACCCACACUGCAAGAGGCGGUACUGCCCCUUCUCCCUUUUAAAAUUUACCCUCCUUUUAUACUAUUACUCUUUAGUGUCGUUUUAAACUUUAUUUUCUUUCUCACUCGCUCGCAUGGAGACUAUUGCUCUUUUAAUUAUUUCAUUCAGAUAGGCUCGUCGUUUGUUCCCCGGGUGCGUAUUUACGCAGACAUAGAGACUUAUUAGACAUUCGGUGCAUAUGACUGAUGUCACAGGGCUCAGUCCACCUGCAGCUCUGCCCAUUAUUAACUAUCAUAACAAUUAUAGACCAUACUGAGAAAGCGUCCCACGAGAAUUGGGAAUGCGUUAUUUGAUUGGUUUUAGCCUAAUCGAAUGUUUGACAACUGCACAUGAAGGGGUUUCUUUAUUGACAUCACUCUUCACAAACCAAAACUUUAACGUUUAAGUGUUUUGCUAUUUGAAUUUAAAUGUUUUAACUUUGUAACUCAAUUUAUAGAGCAUGGCGUCAGCAACGCGAAGGUUGUGGAUUUGAUUCCCACGGAACGCGCGUGCUAAUUUGAAACAAAAUUAUCCGAGCAUUUUAGAUCUGUUUACAAUACGAUAUUUCAAGAUCUUAGUUCUGUGCACCCGUAUCUAUUUAGAGGGCAAACGUGUCAUUUCUAGUCUAUGGAAAAAAAGACGCGUCACCAUCUCAAAGCGAUGAGGUUAGAAAACAGUGAUUAAUUCCUGCGCGCGGGCCCCCGUCGAGUCCGGGAAGGAAUAUAUAAAAAUAACCAGGUUUUCACUCUCCCAGCCCUUAUUGAAUGUCAUUGUGGAGAGUUUUCAAUGCGAGAGAGAAAGGGUCGAAUUAAAGUGUGUGACAGCGGCGGACAAAGUGGCACAAAGCCGACUCUGUCACUGAGGUCCCGAAUGCGCGCGAGUGAAAGCCCCUGCCCGCCGCGCCCUGAUUGAAUUAAGUAAUAGGAAAAACAUUUUCUUUCACUUCAGCUUUGCUAAACAAGAUGUUCAAAGGGAAAGAGACUACUAAUGUGUGAGUAAACAGCGAAAUGUGGGUUUAAUGUUCUGUUUUCAGUGCGUUUUUAUUACUUAACAAAACAUAUAUUGCAUUAAUAACCAAAACAAAUAUUACUUAAAUUGCAAUAAACUAUUUUCUUGAACGACACUGUUAUCUAAUAAUAACUAGGCUAUAUGAGCAAAGAAAUAUUUGUCACAUCAGAUUUAAAACUUUUUUUGUCAAAAGAACUGAUUCCUCGACUCAGACUGGUUUUUCCCAAGGUGUUGUAAACCUAUUUAUGUCACCGAAUCAUAUGAAGCUCAUUGCCACUGUCGCCUUAAAUGCUUUCUUAAUUGCUGUUUAAAGACAUUUAAUAUCCAAUAGUUAUAUCAGUUUGACUAGACACUGUCGAAUUAAGUAAAACAAUGCUUCGAGCUGCUGAAACGGACACAUUUUGAAACAUCGACACUGUUACUGAAUUUAAUCAACAUUUAAAUUAAUUUUUGAAAAGUUGUGACCAUUGAGUGCGUAAAGUAUCCAGCAUUUAAACGACCUAUUUAUAUACAAUACAUGGCAAGUUCAGUAACUUUACUGUAAAACAAAAAUCUGUUUAUAUAAAUAAAGGUGACUUGACGACUUU